AUGAGUUUGAUCCUGGCUCAGGAUGAACGCUAGCAGGCUUAACACAUGCAAGUCGAGGGGUAGCGAUAAGUGCUUGCAUUUAUGAGACCGGCGCACGGGUGCGUAACGCGUAGCAGAUCUACCUUGUUCAAAGGGAUAGCCCAGAGAAAUUUGGAUUAAUACCUUAUAGUAUAGCAAAAUGGCAUCAUUUAAUAAUUAAAGAUUUAUCGGAACAAGAUGAGACGGCGUCCCAUUAGCUAGUUGGUAUGGUAACGGCAUACCAAGGCAAUGAUGGGUAGGGGUCCUGAGAGGGUAUUGCCCCACACUGGUACUGAGACACGGACCAGACUCCUACGGGAGGCAGCAGUGAGGAAUAUUGGACAAUGGGCGCAAGCCUCCACUAGCCAUGCCGCGUGCAGGAAGACGGUCCUAUGGAUUGUAAACUGCUUUUAUACAGGAAGAGGCACCUCUACGUGUAGAGACUUGACGGUACUGUAAGAGCUAGGAUCGGCUAACUCCGUGCCAGCAGCCGCGGUAAUACGGAGGAUCCAAGCGUUAUCCCCAAUCAUUGGGUUUAAAGGGUCCGUAGGCGGGCUGAUAAGUCAGUGGUGAAAUCUCCCAGCUCAACUGCCAAACUGCCAUUGAUACUGUAGCACUUGAAUUAUUAGGAAGUAACUAGAAUAUGUAGUGUAGCGGUGAAAUGCUUAGAUAUUACAUGGAAUACCAAUUGCCUUGGCAGGUUACUACUAAUAUAUUGACGCUGAUGGACGAAAGCGUGGGUAGCGAACAGGAUUACUGCCCCUGGUAGUCCACGCCGUAAACGAUGGAUACUAGCUGUUCGGAGCAAUCUGAGUGGCUAAGCGAAACAGCUAAGUAUCCCACCUGGGGAGUACGAACGCAAGUUUGAAACUCAAAGGAAUUGACGGGGGCCCGCACAAGCGGUGGAGCAUGUGGAAAAUUCGAUGAUACGCGAGGAACCUUACCAAGGCUUAAAUGUAGUUUGACCGGUAAGGAAACAGAUCUUUGCCAAGACAAAUUAGAAGGUGCUGGGUGGUUGUCGUCAGCUCGUGCCGCGAGGUGUCAGGUUAAGUCCUAUAACGAGUGCAACCCCUGUUGUUAGUUGCCAACGAGUCAUGUCGGGAACUCUAACGAGACUGCCAGUGCAAACUGUCAGGAAGGUGGGGAUGACGUGAAAUCAUCACGGCCCUUACGCCUUGGGCCACACACGUGCUACAAUGGACGGUACAGAGAGCAGGCUACUAGGCGACUAGAUGCGAAUCUUCAAAACUCUCAGUUCGGAUCGGAGUCUGCAACUCGACUCCGUGAAGCUGGAAUCGCUAGUAAUCGGAUAUCAGCCAUGAUCCGGUGAAUACGUUCCCGGGCCUUGUACACACCGCCCGUCAAGCACGGGAAGCUGGGGGUACCUGAAGUCGGUGACCGCAAGGAGCUGCCUAGGGUAAAACUGGUAACGGAGGCUAAGUCGUAACAAGGUAGCCGUACCCCAAGGUGCGGCUGCAUCACCUAC
rnacentral:rRNA from 1 species